ensembl:lncRNA
CACCAAUGACUCGUCCUCUAAUCACUUUGAGAUGGAGCCUGCGGCUGCCAAACUUUGUUGAAGCUGCUGAAGUGACUCACACAGGAACAUAGUUUUUGUUUCUUGUUCUUUACACUGUAAUAGUGUUGUCAAAAAUAUUGAUAUAUCAAUGUAUAUCAAUACAAAAAUAUUUUAACUGAUACAAUAUCACAUUUCUACAAUGGGGCACUUGUACUUGUUGGACUUGUAACCCGAAGGUCGCAGGUUCGAGUCUCUGUGCUGGCAGGAGUUGUAGGUGGGAGGGAGUGAAUGAACAGCGCUCUCUUCCACCCUCAAUACUCAUGGCUGAAGUGCCCUUGAGCAAGGCACUGAACCCCAGUUGCUCCCCGGGCGCUGGGUAAAUGUGGGCAGCCACACCAUCGUUUUCAAAAGUCUACAUUUUGUUUCAUUUACACUUAAACACAACCCUGGACUUUUCAAACUAAAAAUUGGGUCUGCAACGUUUUCGAAAGCCUCCUCUAAUUUUGAGGGUCGAAAACGCCAGAAUAGUGUAAACGACAUAACUGUAGCAAAAGUUAUGUGUUUUAAACUCUUAAAACAAAAAUGCACUAGUGUAAACGGGGUGUGUCUCAGUCAGUUCCCUUGUUCAGUAGUCAGGGCACUGAUCAGGGAGUCGGCCAUUUUAAGGGCUGUCUCAAUUGCGAAAUCCUUCCAGUGCACUGGAACAUUCGCUCCAUGA